UUGUAAGUCUGGGAAAAAAGCAGCAAGGCAGGUCCAGCAGAGGAAGCAGCGCUGCAAACUUUGUCCACCUGCCCUGCCACAGUGACCGCAAGCUGGAUCUGGAAGGACCACUCUGGGAACAAGAAGCAAUUCAGUUUUCUUAACAGCUAAUUCCUGAAUCU
rnacentral:sRNA from 1 species